UCGGCUGGCUAGCACACAGGUGCUGCAUGGCUGUCGUCAGCUCGUGUCGUGAGAUGUUGGGUUAAGUCCCGCAACGAGCGCAACCCUCGUCUUUAGUUGCCAUCAUUCAGUUGGGCACUCUAAAGAAACCGCCGGUGAUAAGCCGGAGGAAGGUGGGGAUGACGUCAAGUCCUCAUGGCCCUUACACGCUGGGCUACACACGUGCUACAAUGGCGGUGACAGUGAGCAGCUAGAUCGCGAGAUCAUGCUAAUCUCAAAAAGCCGUCUCAGUUCGGAUUGUUCUCUGCAACUCGAGAGCAUGAAGGCGGAAUCGCUAGUAAUCGCGGAUCAGCAUGCCGCGGUGAAUACGUUCCCAGGCCUUGUACACACCGCCCGUCACACCAUGGGAGUUGGAUUCACCCGAAGGCGCUGCGCUAACCCGCAAGGGAGGCAGGCGACCACGGUGGGUUCAGCGACUGGGGUG
rnacentral:rRNA from 1 species